rnacentral:rRNA from 1 species
GCUAACUACGUGCCAGCAGCCGCGGUAAUACGUAGGUGGCGAGCGUUGUCCGGAAUUACUGGGCGUAAAGGGCGCGCAGGCGGUCUGUUAAGUCCGGGGUGAAAUCCUUCGGCUCAACUGGAGGGGGACCUUGGAUACUGGCAGGCUGGAGUGCGGGAGAGGGAAGCGGAAUUCCACGUGUAACGGUGAAAUGUAUAGAUAUGUGGAGGAACACCGGUGGCGAAGGCGGCUUCCUGGACCGUAACUGACGCUGAGGCGCGAAAGCUGGGGGAGCGAACAGGAUUAGAUACCCUUGUAGUC